AAAUAAAAUUAAUAAAAUAUUUUAGAGAUGCUCUAACAAAUAGCAUAUAUUUAAAUCAAGCCAGCUUAAAAUUCUACACAGUUAAAAAAAUAAAAUCUACCGCUGCCACCACUAGGGAUGGCAAAAAUCCCCACGGGGACGGGUACCCUCGGGGAUUUUCCCCAUUCGGGGAGGGUAUGAGGAUAAUUUCAUACCCAAUUUCUUAUUCGGGGAGGGGACAGGGAAAUUUUUUUACCCAAUUUCUUAUUCGGGGAGGGGAUGGGGAUGAGGUGGAAUCCCCAUCCCCUACCCA
rnacentral:lncRNA from 1 species